rnacentral:lncRNA from 1 species
UGAGGGGACUAGAAACAGUUUCCAGCCCCCCGGCAGUGAUAAAGUGCUUUUAGAGAAUCCAAGAAAUUUCUAUUUGUAUUAGAGAUUAAUGAGGCAUCCUCAUGCCAACUCAUAUUUCAUCUCUGACACCCCACAGAUGAGCUGCUGCCGAGACUAAAUGAAAACAGUCCAACAUCAAAUGCUGCGUGGUGCUUGAAUGAGCUUUAAGGUUUAAAGUGUCUAAUGAGUGAACAAGGAAGAUAGGAAAUGUGGGUUCUUGAAACUGUUAACUUGCAAAAACUGAUAAACACUCAAGGCAGGUGGGCACACUGGGGUUCAAAACCCUGCUCUUCCACUUCCUUACAGGGUGGCCUUAGGUAACCUGAGUCUCAGUCUCUCCUCUAUUAAAGGCAUGGCAGAGCUGCUCCUGUUAUCAGGAGGGAGAGGCAGUAUUGGAAAAUGCUCCCAGCCUCUCCAGUGAAGCUAAGUUCCGUCUGUGCCAGAAAGCUGUUUUCUGAGUGCCACAAAUACGCAAGGUGGAUGAAUUACUGUUAACUUUUUUCCAUUUCCUGACUUAGGCAUUCUUGAUUAAAUCUGAUUCCCUUCGUUUUUCUCCCUUGGUCAUGUAGUCUUUUGUGUUUUUGUGUUUUUUUAAGACCUGAAAAUUACAUUAUUGCCACCUCAACAUUUGUCAGGCCCAAGUGGAACUCCUGUUAUUCAGAUCCGCACGACAGAUUUGCAUUUUCUCCAUUCAGCUGUUCCUCACAUCCUGUCAUUGGGAAUAGAUGCUUAAACUGCAUGAUAACUGGCCUCCAACCAAAAUUACACAACUGGAACAUUCUUAUCUGUCACCAGCCACCAGACUUGCAUCCAAAUAGCUCGUAAACAGUGGCAUAAUUCAUUGUUUUGGGGGGCCAUUCAAAUAUCUUGAAAUAGCAUUUACAGUAGGUCAUUCAAAAAUAAUUGCUAAUUUGAAUUUUGCCCUUAAAAUGUUGACUUCUAGUUAUCUAUAUUUGCUUUUCUUAUUUUCUGCUUUAUUCUGUAAUAUAGCCCUUAAAGUGCCUGGAACAGAGUAGCAACUCAAUAAAUGCUUCUGAAUGAAUAUGAUUCUUCAUAUGUCAGGGUCUUCUUUGAAGAGAGCAAGUUACAGAGUAUUCUGUGGAGGUCAGUUUGCCUUGGC